rnacentral:rRNA from 1 species
CCUACGGGACGCAGCAGUGGGGAAUAUUGCACAAUGGGGGAAACCCUGAUGCAGCGACGCCGCGUGAAGGACGAAGUAUUUCGGUACGUAAACUUCUAUCAGCAGGGAAGAAAAUGACGGUACCUGACCAAGAAGCCCCGGCUAACUACGUGCCAGCAGCCGCGGUAAUACGUAGGGGGCAAGCGUUAUCCGGAUUUACUGGGUGUAAAGGGAGCGUAGACGGCUGUGCAAGUCUGAAGUGAAAUGCCGGGGCUCAACCCCGGACCUGCUUUGGAAACUGUACAGCUAGAGUGCAGGAGGGGUGG